rnacentral:lncRNA from 1 species
GGACAUUGGAUGUUUUAUUUCUUUUUACAUCGAAUUACAAUUCUAAAUAACGUUUAAUAAUUGUAUUUAUUUACAAAAAUGCUAACGGUCAUUUUUAACGUUACCUAUUGAGUAGUUUGACGUUAAACGUGUGACGUUAUACGUUGUUUUUGCACUAGUGAUACUCCAAAAGAAAAUUCCAAGUUCAGAAACCCUAACAUUCCCAAUAUGAACCCUCAUUCCCCACUUCGCAAAACCCAAACCUACAGGUAAGAACAAAAUUGCUAACCACUCGCAAAACAUAGAAGAACCAAGAAUUCUCCAAAUCAAUUUUGAAACAAAAAUUAUGUAUUCCAAUUUACAAAAACCAGAUAACAUAACAAAAACCCCCAAAUCGAAACCCUCAAUCGCGAAUCCUAUUGUUGCGAAACCGCUUGAGAACGAUGGGCUUCUGGCAUCGCGACUUCGUUAAAGAUUGAACCUUCGCGGAGGUGCUAUCGCGACUUUGUCUGGUUCUCGUUUCUGCGAAACUCCGACAAACCCACUAUGGUCAGUUGGACCAUCACAAGCUUCAGUUUUCCUUUGAUGGCACAGGCAUAAGGAAGCCUUUCCCCCUUGCAUUUAGAAACCCUAAUUUUUUGGAUGGGAAAGGGGCUGACACGUGGUAAUCCCUCAUUGGUUGUGUCAUGUUUGAGUCAAGGCAGGUCACUAGUUAAAUGACAUGGCA